UACGUAGGGGGCAAGCGUUGUCCGGAUUUAUUGGGCGUAAAGGGCGCGUAGGCGGCGCGAGAAGUCGAGUGUGAAAGCCCCGGGCUCAACCUGGGAAUUGCGCUCGAUACUCUUGUGCUUGAGUUCGGGAGAGGAGCGUGGAAUUCCCAGUGUAGAGGUGAAAUUCGUAGAUAUUGGGAAGAACACCGGUGGCGAAGGCGGCGCUCUGGACCGAGACGUGACGCUGAGGCGCGAAAGCGUGGGGAGCAAACAGGGAUUAAGAAACCCCAGGUACGU
rnacentral:rRNA from 1 species